rnacentral:rRNA from 1 species
GAUGAACGCUAGCGGCAGGCUUAAUACAUGCAAGUCGAGGGGUAACAGGUCUGUAGCAAUACAGAUGCUGACGACCGGCAAACGGGUGCGGAACACGUACAGAACCUUCCUUCGAGUGGGAGAUAGCCCAGGAAAACUUGGAGUAAUAUCCCAUAGGAUCAUAGAGUGGCAUCACUUAGUGAUUAAAGAUUUAUCGCUUGAAGAUGGCUGUGCGGCUGAUUAGGUAGUUGGUGUAGGUAACGGCUCACCAAGCCUUCGAUCAGUAACUGGUGUGAGAGCAUGACCAGUCACACGGGCACUGAGACACGGGCCCGACUCCUACGGGAGGCAGCAGUAAGGGAUAUUGGGCAAUGGAGGCAACGCUGACCCAGCCAUGCCGCGUGGAGGAUGAAGGUCCUCUGGAUUGUAAACUUCUCUUAUUUGGGAAGAAAUGCCGAUUUUCUAAUUGGUUUGACGGUACCAGAUGAAUAAGCACCGGCUAACUCCGUGCCAGCAGCCGCCGCGGUAA